GUCAGGACCCAAAUUCCAAACAGUGCCAAGAUCAACAUUUGCAUCACUCUUGGGGUUGUUUGCAUCCCUCUUAGCACUGGAAAUGACAUUUUCCAUCCCUAAUGAAACCAGGACUGUAUGUCCUUUUCCCUGCUGCCCUGCAGAAACGGCCCCAGGCUCCUCCGCAGGACAGGGCUGGGCACAGCCCCAGUUUGAGACAGCUGAAAGGUGCCUGUGUGGCACCAGGGACUGCCUGGAGCCCCGUGGCCUCCUCCAGUCCGGCCCCCAGCAUCGACCCCUUCACUCGCCCCCUCCACCUCCCUUCGGCAGCUCUUCUCCCAGGUUUGGGGAGGCUCCAGCGCCGCUUUCGCUGCGAGGAGGAAAGAUAGCUCCUUUAAUCUCACCCCUAACCCCAUGACCUUCCUCCCUUAAGGAGCUUUUCCCCUUCAUGUCACUGCUUUUUAAAGCCUCCUUUACAAAUAAAAGCAAUUUCCUUUUGGAACUGUAGCUA